GAGUUUGAUCAUGGCUCAGAUUAACGCUGGCGGCAUGCCUAACACAUGCAAGUCGAACGGUAGCAGGCCUUCGGGUGCUGACGAGUGGCGGACGGGUGAGUAAUGCGUAGGAAUCUGUCUUUUAGUGGGGGACAACCCAGGGAAACUUGGGCUAAUACCGCAUGAGCCCUGAGGGGGAAAGCGGGGGAUCUUCGGACCUCGCGCUAAGGGAAGAGCCUACGUCUGAUUAGCUAGUUGGUAGGGUAAAGGCCUACCAAGGCGACGAUCAGUAGCUGGUCUGAGAGGACGACCAGCCACACUGGGACUGAGACACGGCCCAGACUCCUACGGGAGGCAGCAGUGGGGAAUUUUUCGCAAUGGGGGCAACCCUGACGAAGCAAUGCCGCGUGGAUGAAGAAGGCCUUCGGGUUGUAAAGUCCUUUCGUGGGGGACGAAAAGGUGGUUCCUAAUACGAGCUGCUGUUGACGUGAACCCAAGAAGAAGCACCGGCUAACUCCGUGCCAGCAGCCGCGGUAAUACGGGGGGUGCAAGCGUUAAUCGGAAUCACUGGGCGUAAAGG
rnacentral:rRNA from 1 species